CCAUGCAAGUCGAGCGGUANCAGACAUUGUGAUUCAGCUUGCUGAAUCUAGUGCUGACGAGCGGCGAACUGGUGAGUAACGCGUAGGAAUCUGCCCAGUAGCGGGGGAUAGCCCGAGGAAACUCGGAUUAAUACCGCAUACGCCCUAAGGGGGAAAGGGGGCAUCUUUGAUGCUCUUACUAUUGGAGGAGCCUGCGUAAGAUUAGCUUGUUGGUAGGGUAAAGGCCUACCAAGGCGACGAUCUUUAGCUGGUCUGAGAGGACGAUCAGCCACAUUGGGACUGAGACACGGCCCAGACGUCUACGGACGGCAGCAGGAGAGAAUAUUGGACAAUGAGGGAAACCUUGAUCCAGCCAUACCGCGUGUGUGAAGAAGGCCUUAGGGUUGUAAAGCACUUUAAGCGAUGAAGAAGAAAAGUAAGUUAAUACCUUAUUUUUUUGACGUUACUCGCAGAAUAAGUACCGGCUAACUCCGUGCCAGCAGCCGCGGUAAUACGGAGGGUACAAGCGUUAAUCGGAAUUACUGGGCGUAAAGCGCGCGUAGGCGGUUAAGUAAGUUGGAUGUGAAAGCCCUGGGCUCAACCUAGGAACUGCAUUCAAAACUAUUUAACUAGAGUGCGAGAGAGGAGAGUAGAAUUUCUGGUGUAGCGGUGAAAUGCGUAGAUAUCAGAAGGAAUACCAAUGGCGAAGGCAGCUCUCUGGAUCGUCACUGACGCUAAGGUGCGAAAGCGUGGGUAGCAAACAGGAUUAGAUACCCUGGUAGUCCACGCCGUAAACGAUGAGAACUAGCCGUUGGGGAGAAUUAACUCUUCAGUGGCGCAGCUAACGCAUUAAGUUCUCCGCCUGGGGACUACGGCCGCNAGGCUAAAACU
rnacentral:rRNA from 1 species